CUUCUUUGUUUAAACGUCUCUGAUUCAUCCCGCCCAUUUUCAGUUGGUGGUGACGUAGUGAAAGGGGCGGGUCGAAAGUGACCGUUGAGUUUGACAGUAGUCAGCGACACACGACUGCCAGGGCAUUGUUGGCUGCUGUGAUUUUUGAAACGGGAAACAUUGUGUUUAACUUCAAACAACUAUAUUGUAUAACUAUGAGGAGUAUAAACAGUAGUAACGCCAGCAGGAGAAGCUCAACAAUUAGAAGACGUAGUGAGAAUUUGCGUUUUGAUGAAUUCGGCUUUUUCUUUACUAAACGAAAGGACCAAAAACUCCAUCAUCGAUGUCAUGAUUACAGCUACCCCCAGCUGAGCUCAGUGAGAGUGAAAGAGCUGUGUGAGCUACUCAGCUACUGGAAUGGAGCCAGCUUUAUCUGCAAGAGCCAGAUUGAGAGAUUCAUCAGGAUGGGUAUUCCUCCAAGUCUGCGAGGUAGAGUUUGGAAGUGUCUUCUCACCGUUGACAGUCUGAGAGAAACCAGUGACUUCAGCUACCAGAAGUGUUUGUUAGAGGUGCGAGGGCCCCUGGUGGACCUGGGAGUCAGUGAGUAUGGCAUCCUGUCUGCAAUCGCCACACUGAGCUGA
rnacentral:lncRNA from 1 species